GGGCUGGUAGCUCAGGUGGGAGAGCGUUGCCUUCGCAAGGCAGAGGCCGCGGGUUCAAAUCCCGCCCAGUCCA
rnacentral:tRNA from 2 species